rnacentral:rRNA from 1 species
UACGUAGGGGGCAAGCGUUGGCCGGAUUUAUUGGGCGUAAAGAGCGUGUAGGCGGCUGGGUAGGUCUGCUGUGAAAACUCGAGGCUCAACCUCGAGACGUCGGCGGAAACCCUCCAGCUAGAGUCCGGAAGAGGAGAGUGGAAUUCCUGGUGUAGCGGUGAAAUGCGCAGAUAUCAGGAAGAACACCCGUGGCGAAAGCGGCUCUCUGGGACGGUACUGACGCUGAGACGCGAAAGCGUGGGGAGCGAACAGG